rnacentral:rRNA from 1 species
UGGGGAAUUUUGGACAAUGGGCGAAAGCCUGAUCCAGCAAUGCCGCGUGUGUGAAGAAGGCCUUCGGGUUGUAAAGCACUUUUGUCCGGAAAGAAAUCCUUGGCUCUAAUACAGUCGGGGGAUGACGGUACCGGAAGAAUAAGCACCGGCUAACUACGUGCCAGCAGCCGCGGUAAUACGUAGGGUGCAAGCNUUAAUCGGAAUUACUGGGCGUAAAGCGUGCGCAGGCGGUUUGCUAAGACCGAUGUGAAAUCCCCGGGCUCAACCUGGGAACUGCAUUGGUGACUGGCAGGCUAGAGUAUGGCAGAGGGGGGUAGAAUUCCACGUGUAGCAGUGAAAUGCGUAGAGAUGUGGAGGAAUACCGAUGGCGAAGGCAGCCCCCUGGGCCAAAUACUGACGCUCAUGCACGAAAGCGUGGGGAGCAAACAGGAUUAGUACCCUGGUAGUCCCACGCCCUAAACCGAUGUCAACUAGUUGUUGGGGGAUUCAUUUCCUUAGUAACGUAGCUAACGCGUGAA